rnacentral:rRNA from 1 species
UUGAUCCUGGCUCAUAUUGAACGCUGGCGGCAGGCUUAACACAUGCAAGCUCGAGCGGAGUAGAGGUAGCUUGCUACUGAUCUUASCGGCGGACGGGUGAGUAAUACUUAGGAAUCUGGCUAUUAGUGGGGGACAACAUUUCGAAAGGGAUGCUAAUACCGCAUACGUCCUACGGGAGAAAGCAGGGGAUCUUCGGACCUUGCGCUAAUAGAUGAGCCUAAGUCGGAUUAACUAGUUGGUGGGGUAAAGGCCUACCAAGGCGACGAUCUGUAGCGGGUCUGAGAGGAUGAUCCGCCACACUGGGACUGAGACACGGCCCAGACUCCUACGGGAGGCAGCAGUGGGGAAUAUUGGACAAUGGGGGGAACCCUGAUCCAGCCAUGCCGCGUGUGUGAAGAAGGCCUUAUGGUUGUAAAGCACUUUAAGCGAGGAGGAGGGUACUGGUAUUAAUACUACCAGGUACUGGACGUUACUCGCARAAUAAGCACCGGCUAACUCUGUGCCAGCAGCCGCGGUAAUACAGAGGGUGCGAGCGUUAAUCGGAUUUACUGGGCGUA